GAUGAACGCUGGCGGCGUGCCUAAUACAUGCAAGUAGAACGCUGAAGCUUGGUGCUUGCACCGAGCGGAUGAGUUGCGAACGGGUGAGUAACGCGUAGGUAACCUGCCUGGUAGCGGGGGAUAACUAUUGGAAACGAUAGCUAAUACCGCAUAACAGUAGAUAUUGCAUGAUAUCUGCUUGAAAGGUGCAAUUGCACCACUACCAGAUGGACCUGCGUUGUAUUAGCUAGUUGGUGAGGUAACGGCUCACCAAGGCGACGAUACAUAGCCGACCUGAGAGGGUGAUCGGCCACACUGGGACUGAGACACGGCCCAGACUCCUACGGGAGGCAGCAGUAGGGAAUCUUCGGCAAUGGACGGAAGUCUGACCGAGCAACGCCGCGUGAGUGAAGAAGGUUUUCGGAUCGUAAAGCUCUGUUGUAAGAGAAGAACGAGUGUGAGAGUGGAAAGUUCACACUGUGACGGUAUCUUACCAGAAAGGGACGGCUAACUACGUGCCAGCAGCCGCGGUAAUACGUAGGUCCCGAGCGUUAUCCGGAUUUAUUGUGCGUAAAGCGAGCGCAGGCGGUUAGAUAUGUCUGAAGUUAAAGGCUGUGGGCUUAAUCAUAGUACGCUUUGGAAACUGUUUAAACUUGGAGUGCAAGAGGGGAGAGUGGAAUUCCAUGUGUAGCGGUGAAAUGCGUAUAUAUAUGGGAGGACACCGGUGGCGAAAGCGUCUCUCUGGGUUGUACUGACUCUGAGGCUCGAAAACUUUGGGAACAUAUGUGAAUUGUUUCCCUGGUAUGUCUAUGGUGUAUUCGUAUUGUGAGUGUGUGUGUGUUGGUGUCUUCGCUCCAGGGGAUGCUCCGUUCUUGUUUUUUAUCUGUUUAUGUGGGUAUGUAGUUGUCUGCUUGUGUGUGUGGUGUGUGUAUGCUGUGUUGUCUGUGUG
rnacentral:rRNA from 1 species